rnacentral:lncRNA from 1 species
AGGUAAGAGUGGAAAUAUUUAAUUUUUAUUAUCAUGAGGUCAUACAUUUGCUGCUCCAUUAUGGGAAUAAGGAACUUUUUCUCUGGAAUUCAGUAAUUAACACAUGUAUCUCUUGGUGCUUCAAUUCCUGGUGAUGGUGAUAAUUUUCCAAUUUGGGCAAUCAUAGCAUGACAAAGUAAAUGCACAUAAGAACUCAAAACCUUAAGGGGUGAAGAUAGGGUCACCCCCACCAAAUAAAUAACGUAGAUCAUUGAAAUGCUGAGAAAGAUUGAGGGAAAUCUGGAACUAGUGGUGAAAGGAGAUGAUGGAUAGUUUCUAUGGCUUGAUAGACUAGUGGAAGUGGUGCAACAGGUCUAUAGAUUAUUUCCCUAAAUCUGUAUUUGUACAGAUUGCAGCUGAUUGCUACCUUCAGCAAUCUUAGUGGAAGAAAUGAUUGCGCCAGAUGCCUCUAUGUACCACUUCAUAUCCUCUUGGUCUCACCUUUGAUUCCAGCCACAGCUAUGACGAACAUUUUCAGAUGGACAUCGACCCAAUCCACAAUCAUUGCCCCUCAUUUUAAGAGUGUGACAAAUAUUCUUACUCCAUUGCUAUGGCAACAAACAUCAUAGGCCUUCAUGGAAAUUAUGCAUGUUCAACUCAGAAAUGUGAGGAAACUAAGCCCCUACAGAGCAGUCCUCAGCCAUUGAGGAAUGAGGAUUGAUGGAUAAAAGGUUUUGCAUUAGUCUCAGUCUCCCUAGAGGGUCCAAAAUUGAUCAUCUUUCUAUGGUGAAGGCCCAAUUAAUGCUUUCCUUUGUCUUUUUAUCCUUUUUCUUUUGUGAUUUGCUCUGGGUGUUUUCAUCUGAUUUACAUACUAGGUUAUCCGUUCUUUUUAGAAGAUUUCUAAAUAUAUACAUUGAAUUCUUAAUUUUAGGUAUUUUGAAUAUUUCAGUUCUAGAAUUCUUAUUUAAAUCUUGACUAUAGUUUCCAGUUAUCUGCUAAAACUCUCCCUUUUGUUAUAUACUUUUUUGAAUAUAUGAAUUUCAAUUAUUUUAAAACAAGUUUCUGAUAACUCCAAUAUCUGAAUUUGAAUCUUUCUUUUGUCUGUUUUCUUUUCUUGGUUUUUGUUCAUAUUACCUUUUUUUUUCCCUCACAUGCCUGGUAAUUCUUUUAUAUAUAUAAAAAACUGUGGAGACAACUUGAGGCUCUGAAUGAUUUCAUAUUAUUCCAGAAAGGAGCAAGUUUUUUGCUUCUGAUACAAAAUUGUAACAGGAGUAAGUCACAUUAUUUUAUUUGAUAAUCUGGAUGGACUGAAGUGGGGCUUCAGCCUUUGUGAUGGUAUAGACGUUGAAUUUUCAAACUUAAUAUCUGGAGAAUUUGUAAUAGCUUUAUUGAGUAAAAUUGACAAAACAUAACAUUUAUUUACUCCAAGUAUACAAUUCAGUGAGUUUCAGUAGAUCUUGUAGUUGUAUAACUCUCACCAUGACCCAGUUCUAAAAUAUUUUCAGCCCCCUGAAAAUUUUUCAGUGCUCAUUUUCAGUAAAUGCCUGCUUCUACCCCUACUCCUCAGGCCUGAGGUCUUUACCAGAUGUUCUCUUGUUCAGUAAUCAGUGAACAUAAAAGUUGAUCUAAAGACCAGAACAGUGAUGGACACUCCUCUAAGCAUCUCACUUUCUCAGUUUCGUGUUUCUUCGGCUACUUGGCUGAUGAUAUUACAUUGGAAAAUUUUCAUCUGAUUUAAGAUUAAAGUGAUUUGUUAGAUUCAUCUUUUCUCCUCUAAAUAUUAGUCUUUUGAGUUCUCAUUGCCUCUGUAGCUCUAAAUGGCUUCUAAUAUGAACCUUUUAUGUUUUGAUAAACUUUUCUAGUUGUUUCUGGUAUGAAUACUAUUAUGCAACAAUCCAACCUAGUACCCCUGAGAGCUAGUUUUUGUAUUUUUUAAAGUUGGGGUACACUUGUAUAUGCUUAUCUUUUAGGUGAAAAUAGCCUGAGUAAAGGGAGGAGUAAGGGCACCUGUCAGUUUUUCUAUUAACCUCAUGUCAAAUCUCAUAUCUUAAACUCUUUCCUUCAAAAUUUUGGUUCUAUUGACGUCAGAGAUAUCUUCCAUGUCACUCUCCAUGAAGAAGGAGAACUUCUCCAAAAUGUAGAAAAAAUUAAUUUCUGUCUUUUUGAAUUGUUACUCUGUCAGUAUUUGUCAAUAGAGUCUCGUUUGAUAUAUGGGAUGGAACACUUCUGUUUUGAAUGAGGGCUUCCUAAACAUUGCAUCAAAUUUGGGAACUGUUCAAUAAUUUUGGUAAUUUGAACACCUUAAUACAUAUACAAAUUUCUCCCAAAAAAGGUAUGGUGUACACAAUCCUUGGUUGAGAACAACAAAAAAAAUGUCAUUCUUUGCUGAAUCAGUGAGUCUAAAAUUUUCUCUCAAAAUCAUUAAUACUGAGAAACAAUUCAAUAGUCCUAUAACUUAGUCCCCAUCCCUGGGUUUAUUAAUGCCAGGUGCUGAAGUCCCUUGGCAGUGCCUCUGGCACCUGAACCUUAUCUCUUGGUAUGGAUCUCACUGCAUGCUUGUCCACCUCACAGGCUAAGGGACACAGAAAGUCCUGAUCAGAACAUUGUUUUCCUGGGGUGAAGGCUGUUUCUCUUCUCUGGAAGUUUCUUCUAAGGCUGAGAGUCCUCAAAGACAAUGAAAUUACUAUUCCAACAAUCCGUCAGGAGCCUUUUCCUUCCUGAUGUUUGGAAUCCUGACCUUGGGGCACCUCAUGCCUGCCUUACUCACACAAGGGCACCAGGUUCUUCAGAAGGGAGCCUGUUGAGAAAUAGGUCUGGUGUGAGAAGGGCAGGAACUGAUUAUCACCCUCUUCCCUCCCAGGUGGUCCCUGUUUCUAAGACAUCUGCCACCAUGCUGCCCUUGUUCAACUGCAGAAAGAUGGAGUCCUAGUGCUUUUGAACCUGGGACCACAAGGAGGAGCUGUGACUCUGUUGAGAUCCAGGAAACUCUGAGCAAGGACUAAGAGAAGGCUCUGGAUGAGAGAGAGUUAAGAGGAAGUUUGGGUUUCUACAUCUGGGGAAAUGUGCUCUGCAGGAGCUGAGGUCAGUGCUGUGGUGUGGGCUGUUACACACCAGGCUACGCCCUUUGCACUGAUGUGCAGGUGUUGCUGUCCCUGGAACGUCAGAUUGUUGCAUAUGAGCUGCCUGAGAGGAGAGUUUGAGCUGAAGAGGUUGGGAGACUUAGGCAGGUGCAGGUGGGGGACCUGUUUCUAAGGGAGAUAAGAGAGGAUCUGGGGUCUGUCUCAGCUCAGCUCAGUCAUGGCAAAACAAACCUCGUGGUGAUGUCAGCUCCUGGCACUAGCAAUGAUCUUGAUAGUCUAAGGUUCUUAGGGAGCCUGCAGAGAUAAUAAUAACUGGAGGAAAUCUAUUCAUCAGGCCUAAGGAUACAUAUAACCUCCCUCUUCCUUCCCGACUAUCAGGGAAUUAAACUAGAAAAGUCUUUACUCUUCUACCUCUGAUGGAUAGUCAUAUGUGAUCUCAAAGAGAACUGUUCAAACAGGUGUUGUUUCUAGAAUGGAAGAUUUUGCAUAUAAACAUAACAGCACACAAGCUGUUCCCAAACUUUGGCAAAUGACCAAAUUAUAAGAAGGGUUUUUAAAUGUUGGAAAGACACAAUCAUGACAAUGUGCCUCUGUGUGACAUUCAGUCCACUUCUCAUUAGUUCUAGUUCUCUUGAUUUCUGCCUCAUUCCCACUGGUCCUAAGCUCUCCACCUUUUGGAAGACUAAACUUUGUCCUUGCUACAUUAUUUCAUGUUUCUUUCCUUGUUUGCUUUGUCAAUUGAGGUAUGGCUCUUGUCAGGGGUCCCUGCAUCGGUCCUGACUCCUGUUCUGUACAGGAAUCCCCUUCUCCAGUUCAGCCAUCUCAAUCAGAAAAAAAGGUGCAAGGAAUCAUUUAUUUGCUUUCUUGCAUACUAUGGGCUGUUCUUGAUAGAUAAUAAAAAUUAUGUUCUCUAAUUUUUAGUUAGACAUUAAUUUCUAGUAUUAUAUACUUUUAAAUUAUUUAAAACAAUAAUCAGAACUGGCAUUACCUCAUGUGCAAUGAGUUUCUUAAUAACAGUUUUAUUUUAGCUUCUUUUCUAGAGACUGUCCACCCAAUUUGGUCAUGAACAUUUGCAUAAAAUAGCAAGAUAAGUGAUUAUUUGAAACCUAUACUUUAAGAAUGGUUGCUUCUUUAUAUGGCUAUAAGUUCCAUCUUAAUAUUGACUCUUGUCAAUAAAGUGAUCUCUUCUCUCACUCCUUUCAUUCCUUUCUUACUCUCUCAGUCCUUCCUGCUUCCCUUCUCUCCUUUUUGGAAAGUCUUCACUUGUACUCUGUGUGGUGCAUGAUGGUAGGUGCUGGGGACGCUGGAAGAAUAAGCCUGUACCUACGUGUGCACCUGGUAAUGUCCAUAGUUUUGGAGCUGGACAGAGUGUUGAAAAUUAUUGCUUUGGGACCAUUGCUUUAUAGAUGAGAAGAAGGAAUACAGUAUAAAAUAUUUAAAUGUAAAUACUGGGUUAUAUUUCUGACUUUCAUGUAACAUGUACUUUAUAUCCCACAGGUAAUCUGUGCAUUUCUUUUUGCUCCUGUUAUAGUAUAAACAUCCCAAGAGUGAAAACAUUGUCCUCCCCAUGACUUGUACAAAUAAAAUAUGCUGAAAAUUUCCAAAAGGGG